rnacentral:lncRNA from 10 species
GUCAGAAGAUGCAUUUAACUGUUUUCCAGCUGAGGCCUUGUGAGAACUCCUCGGACACCAAUUUAAAUCUUUAUGUCCAGAACUCCUUUCUCCAAUCCAGAGAUGAGGUUCCACCAUUCUUGCCCAGACUGGUUUCGAACUCCUGGACUCAAGCGAUUUGCCUGCCUCGGCCUCAAAAAGUGCUGGGAUUACAUGCAUGAGCCACCACACCCGGACCCUCUCUCUUAAAUAGUGGCCCUUUUGCCUCUCUGCAACACAGGAAAAAUUCUGUUAGCCUGCAUCAGAAGGAGUGGCAUGGAGGCUUUGGAGUUAAGAAGAUUUAAUUCAAAUUAUGUGUCCGGUGCCUGCCAGCAAUGAGACCUUGGUAAGGUUUCUUAACCUCUCUG